rnacentral:rRNA from 2 species
ACUCUCAGCAACGGAUAUCUUGGCUCUUGCCACGAUGAAAAACGCAGCGAAAUGCGAUACGUGAUGUGAAUUGCAAAACUCCGUGAAUCAUUGAAUCUUUGAACGCAACUUGCGCCCGGGGCU